rnacentral:snoRNA from 1 species
UUUAUCGAUAUUAUUGACGAGCCAGCCAGGGGAAAAGUUACUAGCGGCCCAGCGAUGCGGUAUACUAAAGCUACAACAUCGAACGGGGCUGAUG